ACUCUCUCAGCUCUGCCCAGUUGCACCUGACCAUAGUGGUGCAACUGUCGUUUUUCGAGAGGGAUAGUGAAUGGGUUCAUAUAUGCACGGCAGUGAGACUUGAUGAAGUGGUCUUCCUGUUCCUUAGCAGACCCAACAGGG